UCACUUUCGAAGGUCACGGAGAUCGUUACGCAAAAUGUGUCAUGUGGUGUAGAGGUUGGGUGAGAACGGGAAGUGUCGCAUCAUUAUCAAACAGAUGCAAUAGCCGCAAGACUUAAGAGGUGAAGGGAUGAAAAGAAAUCGUAUAAAGGGAGAGAAAAAAGGUGGAGGGAAAUCAGUCGAGUGAGGAUCUCCGACACGGCAACAACUGCAGCUUACCAUUUGUCUCCAACUGUUCGCAAUUUGGGUAUUCUGUUUUUAUAUGGCGAUUUGUUUUAAUGAAACUUUUUACUAAUGGUAAAUAUUCCUGUAAUUAAUAAAUAUUAGAGUUUAAAUUUUCAAGUUGUCUAGUUAAUCAUGGUGUCGUUGAUGGCUGGGUGACUGGGUCGACCACUGGUGUACAGAUGUCUCCUGGGUAUGGAGGAUUACAAACCGUAACGCCGCCGCCUUAUUGCUCAACAACAACAGACGAAACAACCGGUACUACAUCACCAAGGCUCCAGGGUACCACCACAUCUUAUAAUGCCCCGAGCUACUACACCGAAGCCCUGAAGUAUAACUCUGCCCCGUGCACCACUACCAAAGAGCCGGAGUACCAAAGAUAGUUGUUUUUGUCAACAACUGGAUUGUUCAUCGUUUAACCAGUUCAUAAUUAUGGUUAACUAUAGCGUCGUGCUGCUGUUGGGCGUUGUAUGACUGGGUCGACCACUGGUGUACCGAUGUCUCUUGGGUAUAGCGGUUAGCCGGAUACCAAACGCCGCCGCCCUACUACACAACAACAACUUUAACAACCAGUUACUACGCCGAGGCCCCCAAGUACUACACCACUAAGGCAUCGGAGUACCAUAACUUACGCUUCGCCAAGCUACUACAUCGAUGCCCCGAAUUAUUACUCUGCCUCGAGCUACACCACCAAGACAGCAGAGUACUACACGACUACGUAUGCUGCCCUAUCUGACUACACCGAGGCUCCCCAAGUACUACUGUGUUCCCAGCUACUACACCGAGGCUCCAGCUACUACACCGAGGCUCCAGCUACUACACCGAGGCUCCAGCUAAUUUCUCGACCAAAACGGGCGAAUACUACACCGAAGCGCCCUGUACCACUCUGCCCCGAUCUACACAGCCACAACUGAGACGGGCAAGCAUUACCAGCCCCGACUUACUACAUAGAAGCUGCUCCUUCCUACUCCGUUGAACAGAAAUGCUACACUGAUGCACCAUUUUACUAGAUCCCAACCUACGCUACAUCUAGCUACAACACCGAAGCCUCUAAGUACUGCACCGAAGAAGCAUCAUGUUACACAACCACCUACGAUGUCCCAGUUUAGUACACAGAGGAACCCAAGUACUUCUACGGGAUUCGUGUUCAGAUUUAUCGGUUACUUUUUAAUAGUUGAUGAGUAUCGUGGAUGUUUAAUGAGAAAAUAAAUAUUUAAUUGCGGGUAA